rnacentral:rRNA from 1 species
GCGCGGCGCCUUCCGAGUUCCCUGGAACGGGACGCCAUAGAGGGUGAGAGCCCCGUCUGGUCGGACGCCCAGCCUCUGUAAAGCUCCUUCGACGAGUCGAGUAGUUUGGGAAUGCUGCUCUAAAUGGGAGGUAUAUGUCUUCUAAAGCUAAAUAUUGGCCAGAGACCGAUAGCGCACAAGUAGAGUGAUCGAAAGAUGAAAAGCACUUUGAAAAGAGGGUUAAACAGUACGUGAAAUUGUUGAAAGGGAAGCGCUUGUGACCAGACUUGGGCGCGGCGAAUCAUCCGGCGUUCUCGCCGGUGCACUUCGCCGCGCCCGGGCCAGCAUCAGUUCGCGGCGGGGGACAAAGGCGCCGGGAACGUGGCUCCCCCGGGAGUGUUAUAGCCCGGCGCGCAAUGCCCCGCGGCGGACUGAGGUUCGCGCAUCCGCAAGGAUGCUGGCGUAAUGGUCACCAGUGACCCGUCUUGAAACACGGACCAAGGAGUCGUCCUCGUAUGCGAGUGUUCGGGUGUCAAACCCCUACGCGCAAUGAAAGUGAACGCAGGUGAGAGCCUCUCGGCGCAUCAUCGACCGAUCCUGAUGUUCUCGGAUGGAUUUGAGUAAGAGCAUACGGGGCCGGACCCGAAAGAAGGUGA